rnacentral:rRNA from 1 species
CAGUGAGGAAAAGGUUGGCCCCAGCUAUCGCUAAGAGAUGGACCCGCGGUGCAUUAGCUAGUUGGUAGGGUAAAGGCCUACCAAGGCGAUGAUGCAUAGCCGACCUGAGAGGGUGAUCGGCCACAUUGGGACUGAGACACGGCCCAAAUUCUACGGGAGGCAGCAGUAGGGAAUCUUCCGCAAUGGACGCAAGUCUGACGGAGCAACGCCGCGUGAGUGAAGAAGGUCUUCGGAUCGUAAAGCUCUGUUGUUAGAGAAGAACAGCGCAUAGAGUAACUGUUAUGCGUGUGACGUAUCUAACCAUAAA